AUACGUAGGUGACAAGCGUUAUCCGGAUUUACUGGGCGUAAAGGGCGUGUAGGCGGUCUUGCAAGUCAGAAGUGAAAUUCCUGAGCUCAACUCGGGCGCUGCUUCUGAAACUGCAGGACUUGAGUGCUGGAGGGGAUAGCGGAAUUCCUGGUGGAGCGGUAAAAUGGGCUGACAUUAGGAAGAACACCGGUGGCGAAGGCGGCUAUCGGGGAAGUAACGGACUCGGAGGCGCGAAGGCGUGGGGAGCAAACGGGAUUAGAUACCCUGGUAGGCCACGCCGUAAACGAUGAAUACUAGGCGUAGGGGGUAUCGACUCCCUCUGUGCCGCAGUUAACGCAAUAAGUAUUCCGCCUGGGGAGUACGGCCGCAAGGUUGAAACUCAAAUGAAUUGACGGGG
rnacentral:rRNA from 1 species